GGGGGGGGGGCGCUGGGGUAGAUGGGGGGACGCUACGGUCGAUGGGGGGGCGUUGGGUGUAUAUUGGUUAGCAGGCUAGCUGGGUGUAUAUUAGUUAGCAGGCUAGCUGGGUGUAUAUUAGUUAGCAGGCUAGCUGGGUGUAUAUUAGUUAGCAGGCUAGCUGGGUGUAUAUUAGUUAGCAGGCUAGUUGGGUGUAUAUUAGUUAGCAGGCUAGCUGGGUGUAUAUUAGUUAGCAGGCUAGUUGGGUAUAUGGCAGGAGGCGCGCUAUAAAAACACAAAUUACAUAAAUAAAAUAAAAUAAAUUUGUAAUCUGAAAUGUAACUGAAGCUUUCAGGUGGACAGGUAAGAGAAUCAUUAUAUUGCGUAAGAAAGAAAGACAGAAUGGUAAAUUAAAAGUAAUUUUUACUUAAGCUCAGUUCAUGAGUUAAUGUGUUGCCAAAGGAAAACGUGGAGCGAUUAUAUAACUCUAAUUUAUAUAUAGUUAAUUAGACUAAUGAUGACAGAGGCCCUUUUUUGAGGCACACACGCAAAUACAACGACAAACACACACACACACACACACACACACACACACACACACACACACACACACACACACAGAUACAUAUGGCCAUUGCCAGUCAGCAAUGGAGUCCUGAGGUGUCUGAAUACCCCCACGGGGCCAGAAUCUGCAGACUGUCCUUUUUCCUCAAGUAACUUUAAAAAAGCAAAUCUCUCUUAAUCCUCUGACCUUUGUACGUCUGUAACGGAGCAAAGUGAAUAAUGUGCUGCAUGAAGAGGAGCAACCUGAUGCAGGAGGGUUUUGUGGAGUGACCACUGGACUCUUGAAGUCAAACUGACUCGGGACGAUAAAUGGAGCAAUGCUGGAAGAGGUGUGUGUGUGUCACGGCAGGCUCGAUGGGGGAGGGGGAGAGGCAGAAGGGAGUCAGUCUUCAUCGUUUUUAACGGCAGUCAGUGUGUGAGGAGCGGAGAAGGGGGGGCGUUUAGUUCUGAUAGAUAUUGAUAGAGAUUGUAAUGAAUGUGGCGAGGACAUGGCACCCUAAAGCACCGCAGUGGUAAUGCAGGGUGACAGUGUAUUUGUACUAAUAACCCUUAAAAGUGGUGAUAAAAUACUCCACUCCCCCACUGGAGCCCCUGAUGGAUGUGCUGGGAGUGAUUAAACUACAUUAGGCUGCGCGUCCACUUACCCUGCGUCUCUGUGUGUGUGUGUCUUAAAACACUGCUCCCCUCAGGGUGCACACUAUUCCAGGUAGCAGUGAUGCAGCCAUCGCGUGUGUGUGUGUGUGUGUGUGUGUGAGAGAGAGCUCUGUCUUUGUGUGCAGCACAGCAUAUGCAGCUGUAGAAGCAGCCCUGCAGAAAUGACACACACACUGCACAUCAUUUGGGUCCCGGUGUCGGUGUCGUUGGCAUCCGACAACCAAGCCGUGUUUUGCUGUUGACAGCGGAUCAGCGCCUUUUUCUUCUUCUUCUUGUACCACAGGAGAUGUUUUGACUCAACACUGAGCCGGAGGGAGAAGCCUGCGGCAGGACCACUGCGUGAGGCUCACUGGGAAUAGUGGCGGCCCGGCUUCCACCGUCGCCGGGUUUUUUACUUGGCCCUUAACCACACACACACACACACACACACACACACAGCCACAAGUGCACAGAUGUGGAACUGACAUUCACAAAGCAGACCAACUGCAGGGAGUCGCUACGUCAAACACACACUUGGCUGUGUUUGAUUCCGGAGGCCUGGCGUCGCUGCCGGCACCUGGGCGGGUCCGAUCGGCUCUUUUAAUGACCCUCCUGGGAACCCUUACCUGAUGGGCCGGCUUCUGCCCAACGUGUCCAGGUGCGGCAACAUAAGCAUUUCAUUAAAAAUUGAAGGCAGCGUUUUUGCAGAGGAGGUCUCCAGUCGGCCGAGGAAAAGGACGGCGAAGGGAAGAAAAAAAACAAAGAAAUGUUCUGGCACGCGUCCAACGCUCCAGUCAAUCUGAGCUCCUUCUCCUUCUUGUCUGUCUCAUUUCCUCUCUCCCCGUCUCGCUCCCUUCUGUCUCCCCCUCCUCCCUAUAAUCACACUCUGACUUUACUUGACCUUUCUGUGGCUAAUUAGUCGGCUUGUGGAAAAGGAUGGCGCGUAGCGUAUCUCUGGCAACGGGGGCGAUGAUGAUGAUGAUGAUGAUGAUGAUGCCGAUGCUCUGGUCUUUUCUACAACAUGUAAAUGCGCUGGCGUAUAAUCCAAGGAGGUCUUUUUUUCAAACUCUUUAAAGACACAAAGUAUAAAAUUGCGUUGGCCUCAGUAUUGCCGGCACAACGGUACGUUCAACUUCAGAAGCUACGAAAACAAGCUUCAUUAAAACUGAAUUCCUGAUGUAGCUGUUUGGACUCAGAAAUAAUUAAAAUAAUGCGACUUGUUUGUCUCGCGGGGGAAAUCACAGUCGGUCGCGUUAGUCGCUGCGUGUGGGUGGAAAAGCAUUGGGAAAUAUUUGAGUUUUUAUGACUUUAUUGGUGUCAAAUGUGUUGUUCGGCUGCAGUGCAGACGUGCAGUUGAAAACACUUUGCCACGCGUGUGUGUGUGUGUGUGUGUGUGAGUGUGUGUGUGUGUGUGUGUGUGUGUGCGCCCAAACAGCUGGAUGUGACUCAAGUCUUGAGCUGAUGGCUGUUCUUGGCGUGUUGACGUGUGCCUUCAGGUGCAUAGUGUUCUCCAUUUCACGCAUAAAAGAGUUAGCGUGCACACACACACACACACACACACACACACACACACACACACACACACACACACACACACACACACACACACACACACACAUACACACACACACAAGGUAAAUGCAUGCAAAACAUCCACCCACACACAGACGCACACGGGGGGAAGGAGAGUGAGGAGCAGAUGUGUGUGUGCUCAGAGUGAUUCCUGUGUGAUGGACUGCGUGUCUGAUGUCACGGCGUCUGCUCACUCCUUAUUACAACUUGCAUAUGCUGUUCUGAGAUGAAUAAUUGAUCUCGCUUUAGUUGGGAAAAGGGAACAUUUGGGAACACUUCAAUCAGGUUGCUGUGGAUCGGGAUUUACUCACAAUAAUCAUCUGUUUCAGUAGCGCCGUUAUUAAUGAUACUAUUAUCUUUGUGUGAGUGGCAACAUAUCAUUUAUUAUAAUACAGGUGUUUAUAAGAUGUUUGUACAUUUAAACAUGUUGUUCUUCUGCAGCAGGCACGGUAAAGGAUACAUGAUACCCAUAAUGCAUCACAAACAUUCUUCUAAAGCCUGAUAAUCUCUUGGUAGCGCUGUACCAUUAUAGUCAGUCCCAUUUAUUAUUCAGAAUACUUUGUAACCAUAUUUUUAUAAUAAUUAAUAAGGUCAUUAACAUUUCUAAAUAUAAGGUCAAAAAUCCCAGGUCUCAAAUCCUAUCUAUUUAUAAUCCUAAUGCGAUUAAUAGACCAUUUAACACUAUUUAUAAUAUCAUAUUCAUAUUCCUAUCGGGAUUUAGAAUCGCUGUGAUUUCAAAGCGAAUCACACGGUUUCACUUUUUAGUUUUCAUGUGAAGUUUAUCGUAAUUACAGAAAUGGGAUUGUUAGCUCUGCUUAGAUAUUAGUUCAUUUUUAGUACUGCACUGAAAUACCAUUUUAGCAAUAAUAAAUAUGCACGUAUUACCUACAGUGCUGUUUUCUGUCUGUGAAUCACGGGUUUAAUAUGCAUGAAUUAAUAUGUAUCAGCGUUUUAAUACAAUUAAAUGAAUUUGUGGAGAGGAGACCAAUCUGCUGAGAUCCAUCUAGUGUCUCGGGGGAAGCUGGGACCCCCCCACCUUCUGUAAGGUUAGCCCAUGUUUCUAGUUGCAGCAUCACAUUUCAUUUACUACAGGCUGCACCGCUCGCUCCACCACUGCUGCACUCCACCCGAUCGCUAUUCAUCUUCCUUCUGCUCGCGCGACAAAGUGAUUUUAUUUUCUCAGGCAAAUACCUGCUACUCCCCAUCAAAUGUGCAUCAAUUAAGCAUUGACUGGAAAAAAAGGACGAUCUAUGGUUUGUAGGAUUUAUUCAAUUUGCAUCCGUAAUUGUGUGCAAUUUACAAACUCAUUAUUUUACAAUUUGGUGCAUUUAACGGCAGCUGGAGGGCAGAUAAUGGUGGGGCUGUAGGGGGCUAACGCGGGCCCCAGAUGGACCCCCGAAACAUGAUGCAAAGUGCAGAAAUGAGCAUAUUCGUCUUUGGAAGAAAAGAGAUUUGAGUGUAGAAGAUAAAGAAAACGAUAACAACCCCAAAGGAAGUUGGAGGGGAGCAGCUUCUGGAAUGAAGACGGUUCUGCUUGUUUUUAAUGGAGACUUGAUCCAAGUGUUACAUUUGGAUGUUCGAGGGAGAGUACGAUGUCACUUUGUGGGAAAAGCCUCUAGUCGCUGAUACGUUGAAGGUGGCAAACAACCCGACAACCUUUGUGCUUUUAUUAGACCAGCCCGUCCACGGGAGCUCAUGAAGGAGCUUCUUUUGUUUUGUUUUUUUGCAGCAAAAGUGGGCGUUGGAGCAGCUUUGUGCCGUGUUUGUAACCCGGGCUCGUUCUGCAGGCAAGACGCCUUGUUAAUACCAUAAAGAUAUGAUAAAAGCUGCAAGAUGUUCCCUGCGUGAUGCUGCAAUUAAAAUUGGGAGAUGCCUCGGUGUGUUGCACCUUGCAUCUCGUUUCUGCCUUGCAGUGCGUGUGCGUGCGUGUGUGUGUGCGUGUAUGUGUGUGCGUGUGCAUGUGAUGGGCUCUCCCUUCCUUUCCUCUCAUAACUGAUUGUUUACUGAGUGCUUUCCACCCUUUUUUUUUGCUUUGUGAGCCUGUAAGUAUAAAAUUUUAAUUAGGAACACUGACAGGUCUGGUGCAUGAUCCACAGCCUCGCAUUCAUCACAGGGGGAAAGAAGGUGGAAAGAGAGAAAGACAGAUAGAAAGAGAGCACAACACUUUCUUCCCCCAACACACACACACACACACACACACACACACACACACUCACACUCAACUCGCGAGGCGCCGGACUUGAGCAGCAGGUGCCAUAUUACUGUGUACAGAAAAGCAAUUAGGCAGCAUAUUGGAUGAAUGAGGAGUGCAUUAAUAUUAGCAAGUGCAUUUGUCAGUGGCGUUUGAUGCGAGUCCUUUUCUUUUCUUUCUGCAACAUUAAGAUUGUGGCGCUCAUAAAUUCACUGCUUAAACCGCCAUCUGCUGCGCUGUCAGCCCACACCGAGCAGAGAGGGGAGCCAUCUAUUCCCUCCUGUCUCCCUCGCUGGGGAGAGAGAGUGAACGACAGACCCCCCCGCGGGUUCCACAGAGAACGGCCGCGCAUUAGGAUUUAUGGAGAUUGUUGGCAGCGAGCACCAAAGCGACAAUGCUCUUAAAUCUGGCUCCUUCUCUAUUGUCUGUUACCUCGUGCUGACGGACACGUGCGUAGACACAUUGCUCCUCGUGCGCCAAUUCAAACAAUAACGCAGGUGUUUUUUGGGAGGCGGGGGGUGGAGCUCCGCCGUGACCUCUGGCGUUUGGUUUUCCUCUGAGGUCCGUCAUGUUCUGUCCAGGAAACAGGGACUCUACUCGAAUUAGUCAUUUGACGCCCUAAUGAAGGAGGUAUGAUGUAAUGCGUCCUUCUCUCCUGCUGUGCUCAGCUUGCCAUUGGUUGGGUUGUGUGUGUGGGCGGGGCCGUGAUACCGCCCCCAAGCGUAGUGCUGCGUUCACACCAAAUGCGAAGCGAAUUAGUCACACAAGUAGAUUCCAUGUGAAGUCAAUGCACAGACGCGUCUGGUCGGGAAUGAGGCGGAUUUUAAACGGGCGGCGCGAAAGACGUGAAAGGAGUGAAGCGAGUAAAUCACGUUUUUUGCGUGAAGUUAAAAUAUUCGCCCGACGGUGUCUUGCCAAAGCCAAAUCCGCGUUGAGAUGCUGCGCUCGGUCAGGGUGCGGGGAGAAGGUAGGACUCGAAACGCACUUCAAAAACAAAAAGACUUUAAUAGUCAAAAUGCAGACGGGAACCAGGAACCUCCAAAACAUUCAACAAUGACAAGAGACACACGGCUUAAAUACACUGGGAAGGUGCAGGUGAUUGGACACAGGUGGAAACAAUCAGACAAUCACAGGGGAUGACAGGACAAGGCAGGAAGUGAAGUUACCCAGGGACACAAGAGGCAGAAACUACAAAAUAAGACUGUCCCCCCCCCCUCAAGGGCCAAAUUCCAAAUGGCCCUAAACCGGCAAAGAGCAGACAAGGGGCGGAAGGGAGGGAAACCAAAGACGAGGGUCGGGCCACCCGGGGGACUCCGGCGGGUGGUCAGGCGGGCGGUUUGUCGGCCGGGGAGCCUCUGGGGGUCGGCCCGAUGGGCCAUUGCUUGGCCGGGGAGCCUCCGGUGUUGCCGGCUGCGGGGCGCAGGAAGCCUCCGGGGUCGCCGGCUCAGCCUCCGCUAUAGCCCCCCCUCAAGGGCCGGAUCCCAGAUGGCCCUUGAGGGGGGGCCUGGAGUCGUGGGGCCGGGACUAGAAUGUAUAUUGGUUAGCAGGGGGGCUGGGUAAACAUUGUUUAGGCUAGCUGGGUAUGUGUUGAUAAGCAGGCAGAAAACUACAAAAUAAACCCAAACCCUGACAGUACCCCCCCCCCCCCCCUCAAGGGCCGGAUUCCAGACGGCCCUAAACGGGCAGAGAGCAGACAAGGGGCGGGAGGGAGGGGACGAAGAGACGACGGUCGGGCCACCGGUGAAAUUCAAGCUGUGUGCGGAUGAUGAUGUCAUGAACCCAAACAUAACAGAGUUUGCGGUCCCGACGUUUUUGUAAUUCACAACAAAUAAAGCGCAGAAAUUGUGGAUAUUUAUUUCCAUGGUGGAAACGAUAACUGUCUUCACGGAGACACGUUACAGAGAUAAGCCACGCCCCCUUCCAGGCCCGAAUUAAGCGAAAAAAUGAAACGCGAAUGAAACAAAAUAACUACAACCAGCCGCGCAAGUAAAGCGAGGCGAAAAAGGCACCAGUUAGCUGCUGGCUCCAGCAAAUUUGUAUUAAUCCGUUGUUUUUUGGACCAUUCUGACCACAGCAUCCUUAUUUUUCUUUUACUAUAAGGCAGUGGUUCCCAAACCCCCAAUGGGUUGUACCUUUUUUGUUUGAAUGCAUUGGAUUAUAAUAAAUAUGUAAACUACAUCAAAUAUGACUUUACCCCCCUGGGGAAGCGCCCCCCAGUUUGGGAACCAGUGCGAUAGGGCUACUCACUGUGGCGCUGUGCUCUCGGUGCAUCUCCCAGCGGUACGCAGCUCAAUGAGGUUCCAGGACGGGAAACAGACUAGUGCGUCUUGGUCGGACUCAAUCAUCGCUGUUUACGUCUGUGCGCUUUGACUCUGAUGAGAGACAAAACAUUAGUCUGUUUGCACUAUUAAAGGCAGCAAAUGAAUCCGGGUGCUUCGCCCCCCCCCCUCACCCUUUUAUCCCCCCGGUGUGGCGUUUGGGGGAAGUUGGGGUGGAUACAUUACCAGGCACCAGUGCAUCAUUGCAGAAACAGGCGUUGUUGGUGCCGCCACCGCUUUGUUGCCUUCUCCAGGGGCAAUGUGUAAGUGUCACGGUACCUCUUGGUAGGGGGAGGGGGAGGGGGGAACGAUACCCACCUCCCCCCCUUUCAACUCCCCCAUAAAAAAAGAAACAGAAAGAAAAAGGAAAACAGAAAAGUGUCACCGGAAGAUUACUGUCGCACUGCCGUCACCGUGACGAUGCCCCGCGGGCAGAACGGGGGCGGACUAGGCAGGGGUCGUUUGGUUGGAUGAGGACGUGGGGGGGCAGUUGAGCACUACUCCCCUCUCUCUCUCUCUCACUGCCUCGUCCUCACACUGUUUCUCUUGCUCCCCCCGGCCUCCCGGCCCCUCGCUUUCCUUGGUGAUUAGCUCGCCCCUCGGUGAGCGCUAAGCGGGCUAAUCUGCACUGCGAGGUGGUGGGUGUAGAGCGAUGGAGACACAGCAACAUAGACUCGCAAAGAGCGAGCGACACACAUUCUAGAGGGGAAACGAGCUCACACAUGCAGACUCACACGUGCAGCGCACAAAGAAUAAUCCUGUUUGUAUGGGUCGAUUCUGCUCUGCUAAGGCUCUGUGCUUUGUAUUGCAUUAGAAUUUGUCAGUGUGUUAUUGUAUAAUAAAUGCUUUUGAACCUAAUUCAUCUUGACUUACUGUUUCUGAUGAACAGUGACUGCAAUAUGGUUUCAGUGUAAUUUUGGUACUUUGGGUCAGUUGAAUAAAAAAAGGCCACUGACCUGCUUCGCCCCUUUCAGGAAAAUGGUUUUCAAUCAACAGGUAGAAUUUGCUCCACUGUCUUCAGAUAAGAAACCUAAAUCUUUUAUACGUUAUAAAACAACAUGAGCAGCUAAUCAGUCAGAUCUGUAAUAAUCAUUUUGUAUGUGUUUUAAUUGCUAAGGUCUGGGAACGUGCACUGUAACAAAUUGCUGUAAAUUUACGGUGCAUUUCUAGCGGUAUCUUACAGUAUGUCAUAAUAACUGUAAGCUGUCAAUUUACAAUAAUAGCAGACUACCGUAAUUCAACUGCAUGUUACGUAUAUUUUAUGAAGUGGUGGAAAUACACAUACAAGUGCAGUGAAUCACAAUCCAUCUGCAUCUGUUGUAGGUUAACGUAUGGAAGCCCACGUCAGCCACUGAAAAACAGGUCCUGUAAGUCAUCAUAAUGAGACGGUAUCUCAUGAGAUACGAUGAUGACUUUGACUUACAGGACAUUACUAUACAUGCAGCUGUCACUUGUAUCCAAAACGCCCAUGGUUUGACAUAAUUCAUGUGGAGUAAUUGGGGGUUAGGUGUCUUGCUCAGGGACACUUCGACUUGGCACAGGGAGCAGCCAGGAUUCGAACCGCCGACCUUAUGCUGCACAGCACACCCUUCCUAUCCCAUGCGCCGCCUUCGCUAUCAUUUCAGUGCCUAGCAUGAUUAACAUUCGCUUUCAUUCUCUUUCCUUACAUCCUGUUGUCUUCCUCAUCUUUGUAAUUUUAAUAUUUUAGCAAUGACCGUGUUUCUAGAUAUUUAAUUUUGGUUUAUUACAGAGGCUCUGGAUUAAGGACGCCAGCCGUUUGCUGCGGUCAAUAGAAAGUGUUCCAUAGCGUAUUGUUGCAGUUAGUUUACCUUGUUCCUAAUGAUUUUAUGAUUCAUUUUUUUAUUAUUGUAUACAUGCGGCAUAUUUUAUGUUUUGUUCUUGGUUACAAAUGCCUAACAUUUUUGUCUUAAAGGCAUCUAAUAAACUCCAACCACUAUGACUGAAAUGAGUUUGAUUGUCUUUCUUUAAUUUGUGGGGAAUUAAAUGCAAAAGUAUACGGUUAUAAGUAAACGGUAACAUUCUGGUGUUUAUAACACAAAAACAGUAAUCGUAUGGUAACAAACUGUAAUACAACAUACCGUAUAUUACGGCAGGGCACUGUAAAUAAAAAUUGGUUCAAGUUUGCGGUAACACACAGUAAUCCAUUUUACGGUAACAUAGUGUAAAAAAACAUUUACGGUAUUAUACCGUAAAAUAAUGGUAAAUUCCUGGCGUCCUUGCUGCCUGUAAAAUACCGUUAAUUUACGCUGACAUUUUUUAGAGUGUGGUUACAUUGCCCCCAAAAAGUAGAAAAAC
ensembl:lncRNA